rnacentral:rRNA from 1 species
GUCUUCUUGAGAAAUAAUUUGAAGUCUGACCUGCCCACUGAAUUAAGUUUUGAAGGGCCGCGGUAUUUUGACCGUGCAAAGGUAGCAUAAUCAUUAGUCUUUUAAUUGGAGGCUAGAAUGAAUGGUUGGACGAGGUAUUGACUGUCUCAGUAUAAUUGAAAAUAGAAUUUAACUUUUAAGUCAAAAGGCUUAAAUAAUUUUAAAGGACGAGAAGACCCUAUAGAGCUUUACAUUUUAUUAUUUUUAUAAAUUUAGUAGUUUUUUUAUAAUAUUAAUAUAAGUGUUUUGUUGGGGUGACAGGAAGAUAAGAUAAACUCUUUUUAGUUUAAUAACAUUAAUUUAUGAAUUGUUGAUCCAUUAAUAUUGAUUAAAAGACUAAGUUACCUUAGGGAUAACAGCGUAAUCUUUUUCGAGAGUUCUAAUCGACAAAAAGGGUUGCGA